GUUGACUCCUAUGCUUCUGGGCGCUCCUGUGUUGACUAGCGCCAAGGUCGAGCACCUGGAAUCCUGUGCUAACUGCAACAGUGAAAUUCUUCCAAACAAGUUUUCAAAUUCAUCCUUUGCCUGCUGUUUACAAAGAGGUACCAAAUAGCUCAAUGACAACAAAUGUGGUAAAAUCAGACCAUCUGGAGGCGUGUAAUAUAGACAAUGCAUCAUUUUCCAUUGAAGCACAACAUAGGUUUUUCUGCCCCAUCUGUGGAUUCAGUUUAAUUUCUUGCCUCUCGUGAGUGCAUCCUUUGGAGACCCCACACAGACUGCACGCCAGGCCCUGUCCUAUCCCUGUCCCUUCAGUCUUGAGACACUGUGACCUGGCCAUACCUCAUGAAGAACUGGAGGACCAGGAUAAAGAAUGUGGGAGUUUAUUUCACUUGUGUCAACCUAUUCCUCACCAAGUGCCUCAGCAUGCAGUGGAGGGUUUUAAGGGCAAACAGAGGUAAAAACAAUUUAAAACUCCCUCAAG